GUAAAAGAAACUAAUUUCCCACAACAAUCACCCAUCAUCACGCAUAACUUUUCUCUCUCCUCAGAUUCUUUCUCCUUCCUCUCGUUGCUUUCGGUUAUAACUUAUACACAUAACCUUCUUCAUCACUUUUUUUUUCAAAUUAAGUAUAUGAAUUGCGACACUGAAAUACAGUGUUUUUCAGCAUUUAAGAUUAGUUCGAGACACUCAUGCAAUAUGGCAAGGCAAAAGUUUCAUAAAUUUCGGGUCCUGGCGGGCGGGCGCCUUGCCUUCUCUGGCCCAGGGUCGGGUCUGCUCUCGAGAUAGUUUUGUCCAAAUUUUGGAUCGUAACAAAAAAAAAAUGGUUUGAAAUUAAGUGUUUUAUAUAGGGCUCAAGUAAAGAUUACGAGUUUUUUACUCGAUUUGAAAUUUUGUUUGUUUUGUAUUUUUUUUUCUAUUAAUUUGUAGGUUUGGUAUUAAGAGCUCCGAAUUGGUGGUGGGCGAGUUAAAUUCUGUGUAUUAUGGAUUGAGUUGUAAUAUAUAUAGUUGGUUUAGGAAUAGUUAUUGAUAUUUCAUUUGUAUAAUUUUGAGAAUUUAGUUAAGUUUUUGGUGUAAUUAAGGUGAUUUUCCAUUACGAUUUUAUUUGUUUAAGAGUUAAUUGUGGUUGAAUUGCGUUGAGUGUAUUUCAUUAGCAGUUGAAGAGUGGAGGUUGUUACAUAUAUGUAAACUUAAUUUUUUUUCAGAAUAUCUUUUUGUAGAAAGGA